GAUGAACGCUGGCGGCGUGCUUAACACAUGCAAGUCGAACGGAAAGGCCCAAGCUUGCUUGGGUACUCGAGUGGCGAACGGGUGAGUAACACGUGGGUGAUCUGCCCUGCACUUCGGGAUAAGCCUGGGAAACUGGGUCUAAUACCGGAUAGGACCACUUCUUGGAUGUUGUGGUGGAAAGUUUUUUCGGUGUGGGAUGAGCUCGCGGCCUAUCAGCUUGUUGGUGGGGUAAUGGCCUACCAAGGCGUCGACGGGUAGCCGGCCUGAGAGGGUGUACGGCCACAUUGGGACUGAGAUGCGGCCCAGACUCCGACGGGAGGCAGCAGUGGGGAAUAUUGCACAAUGGGCGCAAGCCUGAUGCAGCGACGCCGCGGGGGGGAUGACGGCCUUCGGGUUGUAAACUCCUUUCGCUAGGGACGAAGCGUUUUGUGACGGUACCUGGAGAAGAAGCACCGGCUAACUACGUG
rnacentral:rRNA from 1 species